rnacentral:rRNA from 1 species
AUUGAACGCUGGCGGCAUGCCUAACACAUGCAAGUCGAACGAUGAUUAAGAGCUUGCUCUUAUGAUUAGUGGCGGACGGGUGAGUAAUGUAUAGGGAUCUGCCUGUUAGUGGGGGACAACAGCCGGAAACGGCUGCUAAUACCGCAUACGCUCUACGGAGGAAAGUGGGGGACCCUCGGGCCUCACGCUAACAGAUGAACCUAUAUUGGAUUAGCUAGUUGGUAGGGUAAAGGCCUACCAAGGCGACGAUCCAUAGCUGGUUUGAGAGAAUGAUCAGCCACACUGGGACUGAGACACGGCCCAGACUCCUACGGGAGGCAGCAGUGGGGAAUAUUGGACAAUGGGCGCAAGCCUGAUCCAGCAAUGCCGCGUGUGUGAAGAAGGCCUUCGGGUUGUAAAGCACUUUAAGUUGGGAGGAAAAGCUGAGGGUUAAUAGCCUUUAGUGUUGACGUUACCAACAGAAUAAGCACCGGCUAACUCCGUG